rnacentral:rRNA from 1 species
CCUACGGGAGGCAGCAGUGGGGAAUAUUGCACAAUGGGGGAAACCCUGAUGCAGCGACGCCGCGUGAGUGAGGAAGUAUUUCGGUAUGUAAAGCUCUAUCAGCAGGGAAGAAAAUGACGGUACCUGACUAAGAAGCCCCGGCUAACUACGUGCCAGCAGCCGCGGUAAUACGGAGGGUGCGAGCGUUAAUCGGAAUUACUGGGCGUAAAGCGCUCGUAGGCGGUAUGUCAAGUCAAGGGUGAAAUCCCCGCGCUCAACGUGGGAACUGCCUUUGAAACUGGCAAACUGGAGUGUGUGAGAGGAUAGUGGAAUUCCAGGUGUAGGAGUGAAAUCCGUAGAUAUCUGGAGGAACAUCAGUGGCGAAGGCGACUAUCUGGCACAUAACUGACGCUGAGGAGCGAAAGCGUGGGUAGCAAACAGGAUUAGAUACCCCUGUAGUC